AGCGAACGCUGGCGGCAGGCCUAACACAUGCAAGUCGAACGAACCUUUCGGGGUUAGUGGCGGACGGGUGAGUAACACGUGGGAACGUGCCUUUAGGUUCGGAAUAACUCAGGGAAACUUGUGCUAAUACCGAAUGUGCCCUUCGGGGGAAAGAUUUAUCGCCUUUAGAGCGGCCCGCGUCUGAUUAGCUAGUUGGUUGAGGUAAUGGCUCACCAAGGCGACGAUCAGUAGCUGGUCUGAGAGGAUGAUCAGCCACAUUGGGACUGAGACACGGCCCAAACUCCUACGGGAGGCAGCAGUGGGGAAUCUAGCGCAAUGGGCGAAAGCCUGACGCAGCCAUGCCGCGUGAAUGAUGAAGGUCUUAGGAUUGUAAAAUUCUUUCACCGGGGACGAUAAUGACGGUACCCGGAGAAGAAGCCCCGGCUAACUUCGUG
rnacentral:rRNA from 1 species